rnacentral:lncRNA from 1 species
UUCCUCCGUUUUCCUCUUGUACUAUGGGUGUGGCAGACGAACUGUGUGAAGAGCUCUUCCGUUGGAUUGAUCAGCAGGAGCGAUGUGCAGAUCAUCUCAAGGCUUUGGCCACCGAGCUGGAGGACAUGAGGGAGGCGAUGACUGCAGGCCAGUUGGUGGGAAACACAGCUACUGUGCUUGGGUCUGCCACUCUUGUUGGGACAGGCAUUGCAACAAUUCUGACUGGAGGCCUGGCUUUACCCUCGCUGGCACUGGCAGCUGGAAUCACAGUCGGAGUGGGUACUGCAACUAGUCUUAUACUUACGCUUGUGGAGAAAUGGAAAUCUAGUGAAACAAUGAAAAAUGCAGAGAAGACUGCUGACAAAAUCAGGCAGAUUCAGAACAAUAUCGAAAGGCUCAAGGAGAAACUCCAGAAGGAGUGUGAGAAUGAAGCGUUUGAGGUGUCAUCCUCCGAUGACGUGCAGUGUGAAAUCACAGCGAGGAUCCUGAGAGCCUUGGCCAAACGCAGUGGUAGAGAUCUGCCCCUCAGUCGCCUAAGACACCUCUUGAGAAGUGAUGGCCCGUAUACACAUCACAGAUAUCCAGCGUUUAAUCCAGACUUCGCAUUCUUCUGCACCGUCAGUUCUUUAAUAGCAUACCUUGGAUAUUCUGCCAUCUUUCUGAAAACAGCAGCAACAAAAGGACAAAAAUAUUAUGCUCCACUUCUUGUGAAAGUUACUAAAGAAAUGGCUGAUGUUUCACUGAAAGCGUUGUUAAAGGGAACAGGCCAGGCCGCAGGAGGAAUCUUUGGGCUGAUAUUAACAUUUCCUGAUCUGAUUGAUAACUGUGAAGAACUGAUUAAAAACAAACAUCAGACUGAAGCUAGCACAUAUCUGAAGACAAAAGCUAAAGAAAUCCUUGAGACUGUGAAGAAAUUAAAAAAGCCAUUGAAUGAAUUGCAAGAGAUGCUCAAUCAAAUCCCUGAAAUGGAGUGUCACAUUGAUUUGGCUCAGGAGAUGUUUGGAUCUCAAAUAUACACACGAGGCACCAUCUGUAUGGAGUAUACACAGAGCCAAAAGCAGGACACGAAGACACAGGAGUUUAUUCUCCUAUGCACAAAAGACAUAGGAGUAACUAAGAAUUGUUCCACAGGACAACACAAAUCGGGUGACAACAAGAACAAACGACAGAAGAAGAAGGCUACUUCAACUAUAGACAGGAGUCUUAACCAGGAGAGGAAACUUGCUUUUCCGAGGAAACCACCACACAAGUCUAAAACAAAAAGACAUGGUUGAACAGGAACUCGCCCAGCAUUAGCUUCGAGGGAUAUAGGUCUUACCGGGUUGAUCGUGAUGCACGGCUAACUCAGAAACGUAGAGGAGGGGGAUUGAUGGUGCUUGUGAAUGAGGCCUGGGCGACUGAUGUGGAGGUGGAAAACAUCAUUAUAACUCCUGAUUAUGAGUUAAUGGUCGUGUCCAUUAGACCACAUGACCACCCUGAGGAUGCGCCACCACUUACCUUCAUCCAUGUGUAUAUCCCUCCAGGAACUAAUAUGAGUCAAGCAGCCAGAGACAUCGCUGGUGUUUACUAUGAUGUUCUGGAGCAGUAUCCUGGUGGUCCUGUUUUCUUGUUGGGUGAUUUCAACCACUGUGACAUCACUCAUCUCUUAGACCUGGAGCAAUACGUCACAUGCCCAACCAGAUACAGUAACACCCUGGAUCAGUGCUAUGGGAAUGUGCCAGGGGCUUAUAGAUCUGAAUGCAGUCCCCCGCUUGGCCGGUCAGACCACAAUGUCAUUCAUUUGAUUCCUAAAAAGAAGUCGGAUGGAAGUGACCCUUCCAAAGAUGAGAAGUGUACACAUGACAGUACCAAAUCCAGAAAGCAAUGAGAGGCUGUGCAGCAGUUCUCUGUUGUUGUCAUGUAGCACCAGGGUUUAGUUCCACUGUGUGCUGUGCUACUAUAUGGUUUGUUUUGUCCUAUAGAUGUAGGACAGUCUAACUACUUUCAAUUAACUUACUGAGUAUAAAAAGUCAUUGAGAAAGAAGGCGACAGGAUUGUAGUCAGAAAUGGUCUGAAAACUGGCACAACAAUGAGGAACAACAUGUGGAAAACGAAUUCUCCUUUGAAUGAAGAAAAUUAAAUGCUUGAUAUACUUUUACCCUGUUAGCCCACACCAGAAAGUGGGCAUCCUGAACGCCUCUCAACUCGCACGUGUCAGUGUUUAUGAAUAGAUAAAAUGAAAUGGGCCAAAUUUAAUCUCGACAAACUAUGUAUCAUUAUAAAGAUAUAAGCCUCAAGCAUUGACGACAGAUCGCUGUUUUUCAAUGGAAAGCUUAUAAAGACUGUAUUUGCUACAUUUGUGUAAGCAGUACACAUACAAACAUGAACAUUAGAAACGCUGUACAUACCAGAUCCGUCGUAAUAACGAGUCAUAAACACAUCAAGAGCUGUAAACCCCGGAUAAGUUAGAAAGAUAAGGGUCCACUGAACGACAUCUCAUGAAGCACGUUUAGUCCAACGAAGCAAUAACGUUGUAAUAUGGAUCAUAAUUCCUUUGUUUACGUUUCAUUUCUUCAGCGACAGAAUUGUUUGCGUCCGUUAUGGAAUAACUCACGGUCAGAAACUGCGUCUUGGUAGUAAAAACACGGCAUGGUUUUGCAGCGUACAGUGUCACAAACAGAAUGAGGCGAUCCACCGGAAAAAAGAAUGAAUUAAAGAUAUGCGAAAGAUUGUUUAUUUGAAUUUGGCGCUCCCUCGUGACGCGCUCUGACGCACCUGUCAGCUGAUGGAGGCGGAACUUACAGCGAUCGCUUUUUCCUUUCUUUCUUUUAUUUUUAAACAGUUUUUAUAUAUGUGAGAGUGUGUUUUAUGUUGAAUGUGAAUGUAUCUGCAUGAUUACCAUCUGUUUGAGUGCAAAUCAGCCCAAAUCAGCUCGCUAUUACAGUAUGAUCACGGCUAUCAAAGUGAACGCGUCUAUAUGAAUAGAGAGAGUGGAUUAUUUACUUUGUGUUAUUACCAUCUGUAUAAGUGGCCAUCAGCAAUUAUUUGCAUCGUAAUUCAUUGUAAAUGCUGCAUUUCUAGCAAUCUCACGAUUUUCUGUAAUUGGCAAACAAAGUUAAAUCUUUUUUUUUAUUUUUCUUAUUAUUCUUAUUUUUCUUACUCAAAUUAUUCUUAUUUUAAUUUUCUAGUGCUCAAAUAAAUCAUUUAUAUGAUGUCUAAGUUUCUGUCUAGUGUUUUAUAAUUGAAAAAACUAUGCAGUGGUAUGUUUACUGACUAAAUAAUUUGUAGAAGCCUUCAAUACUAUUGGGAAAUAUAUUUUCUUAUAUUUGUGGGGUGGGGGAUGUAGACAUAGUCUCAUAAAAAUAUUUGAAGGAGUCUAAUUUUUCAUGAUAUCUUAUUCAGAUUUGAAAUAGAAACUCAUAAGACAUUUGGCUUUGCUUUUCUAGGUUACUCCAGG